UACAUUACAAACACAAAAAAAACAUUGUAAACAUUUUUGACUGGCCUACAGCCAGAAAUUAUUACAAAACACAAAUGUAACUUACUAGGAAGACAAUAUAGAUUGAAAAUAAAAAUAAAAUACAAAAACACAAAAAACUACUAAAAAAUAAAAAUAAGUAUAUAGCAUCCUCAACGGGAGAUUAUAAAACCGAAACUUUAGCGUAUCCUGCCUUCAGCUUCCCUGAUUUGACAACCACCUCCACGCACUCGGAACCGUUUCCGGUCUCAUGAAAUUAAUUACACAACUGCCCAUUUUUCUCUUUAGGAUUUCUAUUGCCUCAAUCAUAUUCCUGUCCCAGUUCACUUCUUUUGGUCGGAUAAUCCUCGCAUUUUCUCACUUCACUUCCACAUCGUGGAGAAGCGACCUCUGGCUUAGCGCAGUGGAGAGUCUACCAUACCUGAGGACCGCUUUAUGCUCUUUCGUCCUAUCUUCCAAAUGUAAUGUACAUAAUGUAUUCCUUGUGUGUGAGACACAUAGUGGGGAUGUGUUUUGCUGAUGGGAGGUGUAGAGGGGGGCGCCUCGGGAUGUGCGCUGGCCUUUGAAUCUUG
rnacentral:lncRNA from 1 species